AUUAAGCAUAUAACUAAGCGGAGGAAAAGAAACUAACCAGGAUUCCCUCAGUAAGGGCGACUGAAGCGGGAAGUGCUCAGGAUGUGAAUCUGCGCUGUAUUAGCGCCGAAUUGUGGUCUGUAGACUGUGGCAUUACUGGCCGGGCCAAGUCCCUUGGAACAGGGCAGCUGAGAGGGUGAGACUCCCGUACGCCUGGCUGGGUGAGCUACUUGUCAACGAGUCGAGUUGUUUGGGAUUGCAGCUCAAAGCGGGUGGUAAAUUCCAUCUAAAGCUAAAUAUUGGUGGGAGACCGAUAGCGUACAAGUACCGUGAGGGAAAGAUGCAAAGAACUUUGAAAAGAGAGUUAAAGAGUACCUGAAAUUGCUGAAAGGGAAGCGAAGGAAACCAGUGUUUGCUUGGUCAUAUUUCCCUGUCCGCUUGCGGAUUGGGCGCUGUGUCCGGCUCGUGUUGUUCUUGGUUGGUUCUGGUGGAAGAGCGCCUUGAGAGUUGAUCAAGGUUGCUAGCAUCGGAGUUGACUGAGGAGGACGAAAUGGUUUUCUUUCCCCCGUCUUGAAACACG
rnacentral:rRNA from 1 species